GAGAACGAAUUCGUACUGUAAGAGUAUUGGAACAUGUGCCUAAGAAAGAAAUAAGUACCUAUACGAGCCAAACAUUCCUACAUAAUACAUAGGGUUUUGUAUAUGUAUUAUUAGUAAUAAUGUAUUCGUUGAAAACCGAAAACGACAACUGUGCGGUGAAGGCCCUCCAGGUUGAUAUACUUCUCUUCAUUCUGUACGUAUAGUGUUCAAUUCAUCUAUGGAAACAAAAAGAGACAAAGUCGGUUCCCUUUGAUGUAGAUCGGCGUCCGCCAACGGUGUCUGAAAAUGAAAACAACUUAUCAAGCCGAAUGCUAGAUGAAUUGGUACUUGGAUAUGAUAUGCAAUUUACUCGCGAAGUACAUAUUCUAUUUUAUCGGUGUGAAAGUACCUACGUAUUUGGCAACAUGGUCAAGCCGCCUAAACACAGAAUGAAGCUAAUUUAUGUAUAAUUUUUCUGGUCGACGAUAAUACGCGGAUAUAUGGGACAUAUAUGGGUACCAAAUCGAUGCUAUUAACUUAAAACGUUCGAUGUGGAUAAACGCAGGAAAUAUUAACCUUUAAUAGAUAUUGUCGACGAAAAUUUACAUCAAGGUAAUCAACCUAUAGGUACCUAUGUACCUAUAUCUGCUUAAAUUUAAUUUGACCAAUUCGGCAACCGAAGUUUGGCGGUGUAUUUUCGUGUUUAGAAAAUGUAAAAGCUUAUCUACACGGCGAUCUCAUCAUCGUCGAGUAUAGAAGUGAUUUUAACAUUAUUGCGUUAAAAGCCUAUAUCGUUCAUUGCCAAUUAACACAUCGUCUAUAUGUGUGCUUUUCACUUCCUUGAUUAAUUAUUUAUAAUACGAGAAAUGACGCUAAUUGUCCAUCGAAUAGAGUGUUAUGUAUUAUUAUUCGAGAUGGUAAACGAGAGCUCAUCGUGUUAUGUGUGUAUGAGUUGAUACGAUAUUAUCUUAAAAAUCACAUAAUUUCAGCCUCUAUUGUGUAUAACUAAUGAUGUAGAUGUAGGUAUUAUACAUAUAUAUUGCUCAUGUCGCUGGAUCUUUUUCUCCAUACCAUAUGUGGAUAUGAUUACGGUGUACGUGUAGUGAUAACAUGUAUAUUGUUUGGUACCAUGUAUACAUACAUAACCAACAAAACUAAUAAUCAUUUGAAAAGCACAACAGGACGUACAAUGUACCUAGGUAUAAAAUACUCCCACAUUCGAGACACCACCACCGCAUGGACUGCUCUGCAGUGAGAUUCGAUUCUGGUUUGUAAUACGAAUAAUCGUAUUUACCUCCUCUUCCUUUUACUCAUUUUGUAUGUUUGUGUCUCUUUCAGUCUUCGAAAAAUGUACGAGUAUUCUCAUUAGCACCUUCCACCUUGACUCUGAAAAGUUUAAAGGGUAUCGUCUGUAUCGGCAUCCUCUUUGUUGUGUGGUUCCAAGAAGAAGCGAUGGUAUGGAUGAUACACCUUUGGGUUCUAGUUCCUGAUCUAAUAUUUUUGUUUGUCAGUGAUCUUCCUGUAUGACUAUGAUUAGUUUCCUUUGCGAAAAUUCCAUGCAUUAGCAUUUCAGAACGACCUAAAAGCACAGACAAAAAAUAAAAAUGUUUCUACCUACUUACUCGAGAUCACAAUUUUUAGAUCAAAGCACAACUUUUCUCAAUUUACCUUUUAAGAAUGGAUUUUUCUCAAUUUCCACUACCUAUGCUAUUAUCUUUUAGUUUUCCCAACCACUUUCAUUUUCAAAUCCAAAAAAUAAGCUUCAAAUUCGGUAACCUCGAGCUAGAAGAAUAAUUGAUAUACAUAUCACAUCAAAUUUUCAUCAUUUUUGGAGCUUUUUAAAAAUGGGAAGGUGUGCUGAAAAAUUCUGAGAAGUGACUCAGAAAAUGAGUAAAAAUUCGAAAUAGCUCUCUCGAAACCAUUGAUACUGAUACCUAGCCAUAAAAAGCAUCAUUUGACUAUGUUUAGAGCACAUAUGGAGAGGGGAGGUGUAAGCUCGAGAAAUUCUGGAAUAAUCCCUCAAGCUCUCAAUCUCUAAUGGUCAUUUCGCCGAAUGAGCAUUUUCUCGAAUAGUUUUUUCCCGAACUUUUUUUUUGACGGUUGAAUUCUCGAAUCAGAUUUCUCAAAUUAGUAUUCCCUAAACGACUAUUCCUCAAAAUUAGUCUUCUCUGUAGGAUUUUUUUUGAAUUUUUUGCAAAAAACAAAAACAGACUUCCUUUGGUAAUUUUGACAAAAAAAAGGAUUUUUUCAAAACAAUUUUGGCGAAACUGGGUAUUUUUCUGUUGUUUUUUUAUGAAAAAAUUACGAAAAAAUAAGGAUUUUUUGCAACUAGGGCAAAAAAGGGAAAAACGUUUUGAUAAUCAUUGAAAAGCAGUUUUUUGCCAUUUAGAUGAAAAAGCAGAUUUUUACGAUAAAAAAGUAUGGAUUUCUAGAAAUUUUAACAAAAAAAAAGUUUUUUGGUACUUUGAAAAAAAGCAAGACUUUUUAGCCAUUUUGAUUGAAAAAUAGAUUUUUGACAAUUUUUUCACAACAUGAGUAUUUUUUUAUUUUUGCAAUUUCGGCAAAAAAAUACAAUUUUUAGGUAAGUAAUUAUAACCAAAAAAAAGGGGUUUUGCAACUUCAAAAAAAAAAAAAACUUUUUGGACAUUUUGAUAAAAAAGAACCACGCAUC